GAUGAACGCUGGCGGCGUGCUUAACACAUGCAAGUCGAACGGAAAGGCCCUGCUUUUGUGGGGUGCUCGAGUGGCGAACGGGUGAGUAACACGUGAGUAACCUGCCCUUGACUUUGGGAUAACUUCAGGAAACUGGGGCGAAUACCGGAUAGGAGCUCCUGCUGCAUGGUGGGGGUUGGAAAGUUUCGGCGGUUGGGGAUGGACUUGCGGCGUUUCAGCUGGUUGGUGGGGUAGUGGCUUAGCAAGGCUUCGACGGGUAGCCGGCAUGAGAGGGUGGACGGCCACCCUGGAAGGGGGACACGGUCCAGACUCCUACGGGAGGCAGCAGUAGGGCAUGGUCCGGAAUGGGGGGAAGCCUGACGGAGCAGCGCCGCGUGAGUGAUGAAGGUCUCCGGGUCGGAAAAGUCUGCUAUUAGGGAAGAACAAAUGUGUAGGUAAAUAUGCGCGUCAUGACGGUAACUAAUCAGAAAGCCACGGCUAACUACGUG
rnacentral:rRNA from 1 species